GAUGAACGCUGGCGGCGUGCUUAACACAUGCAAGUCGAGCGAAGCACUUAAGUUUGAUUCUUCGGAUGAAGACUUUUGUGACUGAGCGGCGGACGGGUGAGUAACGCGUGGGUAACCUGCCUCAUACAGGGGGAUAACAGUUAGAAAUGACUGCUAAUACCGCAUAAGACCACAGUACCGCAUGGUACAGUGGUAAAAACUCCGGUGGUAUGAGAUGGACCCGCGUCUGAUUAGGUAGUUGGUGGGGUAACGGCCUACCAAGCCGACGAUCAGUAGCCGACCUGAGAGGGUGACCGGCCACAUUGGGACUGAGACACGGCCCAGACUCCUACGGGAGGCAGCAGUGGGGAAUAUUGCACAAUGGAGGAAACUCUGAUGCAGCGACGCCGCGUGAAGGAUGAAGUAUUUCGGUAUGUAAACUUCUAUCAGCAGGGAAGAAAAUGACGGUACCUGACUAAGAAGCCCCGGCUAACUACGUGCCAGCAGCCGCCGCAG
rnacentral:rRNA from 1 species